rnacentral:rRNA from 1 species
AGUGAACGCUGGCGGUAGGCCUAACACAUGCAAGUCGAACGGCAGCACAGUAAGAGCUUGCUCUUACGGGUGGCGAGUGGCGGACGGGUGAGGAAUACAUCGGAAUCUACUUUUUCGUGGGGGAUAACGUAGGGAAACUUACGCUAAUACCGCAUACGACCUACGGGUGAAAGCAGGGGAUCUUCGGACCUUGCGCGAUUGAAUGAGCCGAUGUCGGAUUAGCUAGUUGGCGGGGUAAAGGCCCACCAAGGCGACGAUCCGUAGCUGGUCUGAGAGGAUGAUCAGCCACACUGGAACUGAUACACGGUCCAGACUCCUACGGGAGGCAGCAGUGGGGAAUAUUGGACAAAGGGCGCAAGCCUGAUCCAGCCAUACCGCGUGGGUGAAGAAGGCCUUCGGGUUGUAAAGCCCUUUUGUUGGGAAAGAAAAGCAGCAGGUUAAUACCCCGCUGUUCUGACGGUACCCAAAGAAUAAGCACCGGCUAACUUCGUG